AUUGAACGCUGGCGGUAGGCCUAACACAUUCAAGUCGAGCGAGCGGCGGACGGGGGAGUAAUGUCUGUGAAACUGCUCGAUGGAGGGGGAUAACUACUGGAAACGGUAGCUAAUACUGCAUACCAUCAGUUUUGCCCAGACGGGAUUAGCUAGUUGGUGGGGUAACGUCUCACCUAGGCGACGCUCCCUAGUUGGUCUGAGAGGAUGACCAGCCACACUGGAACUGAGACACGGUCCAGACUCCUACGGGUGGCAGCAGUGGGGAAUAUUGGAGAAUGGGCGAAAGCCUGAUCCAGCCAUGCCGCGUAUGUGAAGAAGGUCUUCGGAUUGUAAAGCACUUUAAGUUGUGAGGCGUUACCAGCAGAAUAAGCACCGGCUAACUUCGUGCCAGCAGCCGCGGUAAUAC
rnacentral:rRNA from 1 species